UAGAAGUAACUCACCAUACUCUCCCUACUCCUGGCGAAAAUCAAUCCUUGUUCCCUCCCCAUGGAGCAUGGAACAUAUACAUCAACAAUUCAUGUUCACUCCUUAAAUGGUCAUUCAGAGAAGCAUGUAGCCUGCUGCAAAAAUAUAGUAAAUCCUGUCCAAAGCAACAAUCUCUAAGAUACAACCAUAUCUAGUUCAAAUGCAAUAAAAAAAUUAGUGCUUGUGUUUCCAGCAACAAAUGUUAACAUCUCUAGCUAUAUUACUUUGAAUCGGGAUAUCUGCUAUGGAGUUCAUGAAAUAUAUUUUGCAGAUAAUGGCUCAUCCAAGUUAAGUACAUGUAUAGACAUGAACAAAGCAAUGUAAAGGCCAUACUGUGAUAAUCACAAAUCUUCAGCAUAUCACCUUGAUAAAGUAUUAGUAUAAAACUAUAAAUACUCUAAAGGAACGUCUUUUACUCAAUGAUAAGCAACUCAAUUUCUAUUAAUAACUUAACUGGCAAUAUAACUUGUUCAUAUGCGAUAAAACUUAUCAUUAGAAAUUAGCACAAGCUAUGUAGUCUGUUGCUUGUGUGCUCUCCUAUAUAACUACUUGGUAAACGCACAAGCAGCACAUUUACCUACUCAUCAUGUGAAACUCUGCAGGAAGCUUCACAAAUGCACUCACCUUUCUGAAAAGCAUAGUAGACACCACGAUCCUUUACAGCUACCGGCUCAUCAUGCAAAA
rnacentral:lncRNA from 1 species